rnacentral:rRNA from 1 species
GAUGAACGCUGGCGGCGUGCCUAAUACAUGCAAGUCGAGCGAACAGACGAGGAGCUUGCUCCUCUGACGUUAGCGGCGGACGGGUGAGUAAAACGUGGAUAACCUACCUAUAAGACUGGGAUAACUUCGGGAAACCGGAGCUAAUACCGGAUAAUAUAUUGAACCGCAUGGUUCAAUAGUGAAAGACGGUUUUGCUGUCACUUAUAGAUGGAUCCGCGCCGCAGUAGCUAGUUGGUAAGGUAACGGCUUAUCAAGGCAACGAUGCGUAGCCGACCUGAGAGGGUGAUCGGCCACACUGGAACUGAGACACGGUCCAGACUCCUACGGGAGGCAGCAGUAGGGAAUCUUCCGCAAUGGGCGAAAGCCUGACGGAGCAACGCCGCGUGAGUGAUGAAGGUCUUCGGAUCGUAAAGCUCUGUUAUUAGGGAAGAACAAAUGUGUAAGUAACUAUGCACGUCUUGACGGUACCUAAUCAGAAAGCCACGGCUAACUACGUG